rnacentral:rRNA from 1 species
ACGCGUGGAACCUUACCAGGUCUUGACAUCCCGCUGCCCGGUAUAGAGAUAUACCUUUCCCUUCGGGGACAGCGGUGACAGGUGGUGCAUGGUUGUCGUCAGCUCGUGUCGUGAGAUGUUGGGUUAAGUCCCGCAACGAGCGCAACCCUUGAUCUUAGUUGCCAGCAUUCAGUUGGGCACUCUAAGGUGACUGCCGGUGACAAACCGGAGGAAGGUGGGGAUGACGUCAAAUCAUCAUGCCCCUUAUGACCUGGGCUACACACGUGCUACAAUGGAUGGUACAAAGGGCUGCAAGACUGCGAAGUCAAGCCAAUCCCAUAAAACCAUUCUCAGUUCGGAUUGCAGGCUGCAACUCGCCUGCAUGAAGCCGGAAUCGCUAGUAAUCGCGGAUCAGCAUGCCGCGGUGAAUACGUUCCCGGGCCUUGCACACACCGCCCGU